CAGAGGCCCUGCUUCCCAGGAUCAAGUUCCCCAUCGUGUUGCUUUUAGGGCCAUGAGAAGAUAGCUUCCUGUCUCUAAUGAGCAAAGUCCUCAUCUUAAGAAAAUCUAUCCCUCCCAGUUAUCAGCCAGACUAAAUCUGCUCUAACAUUUGGAAACGUUGCACAAACUUUGUACAAACUGCAAAAAUGUAUUUUAAAAAAUAUUCUCGUAAAGCAUAUCAGAGGGGAUUAUUGUCACUCAUGUUCAUUUCCCUCAAAACAUUUUAAGAGCUUCACCACAACUUAGCAAUGCAUAGCACACAAGUGUCAUCCCAACCUCAUCUCUUAUCAUCCAGGUCUGGAUCAAGUGUGCUUCAUCAGCCCCCGAAGUCACUGCAACCUGCUAGAAAUAUUAUUUAUCUUCUCAAGAACUGGGAUAAAUCACCACGCCCGAGGCUCUAGGUUACAACAGGUAUUUGAGGCUUAUUUAAACAGGGAGCUAGUAUAGCUUGUGGCUUUUUUGACACAUCAGGAUUACACAGAAAAGGCAAUAAACUUUAUAAAGCACUAAGGAAGAAACAAAAACGGUUUCUUCAGUAUAAUUACAUUCAAUGAAAAACACUGACUAUUUUUUGAGCAAUAACAUUUACUUAAGGGAGAAAUGCGGACAAGUUCAGGUGUUUGAAUUGUACUUAAAGGCUCUGUCUACAUUGUAGCUCCCACUAUUAC